UGGGGAAUAUUGCACAAUGGGCGCAAGCCUGAUGCAGCAACGCCGCGUGAGGGACGACGGCCUUCGGGUUGUAAACCUCUUUUGGCAGGGAAGAAGCGAAAGUGACGGUACCUGCAGAAAAAGCACCGGCUAACUACGUGCCAGCAGCCGCGGUGAUACGUAGGGUGCAAGCGUUGUCCGGAAUUAUUGGGCGUAAAGAGCUCGUAGGCGGUUUGUCGCGUCUGCUGUGAAAACCCGAGGCUCAACCUCGGGCCUGCAGUGGGUACGGGCAAACUAGAGUGCGGUAGGGGAGAUUGGAAUUCCUGGUGUAGCGGUGGAAUGCGCAGAUAUUAGGAGGAACACCGAUGGCGAAGGCAGAUCUCUGGGCCGUAACUGACGCUGAGGAGCGAAAGCAUGGGGAGCGAACA
rnacentral:rRNA from 1 species